CUUUUAUUCAUUUCAGUCUGUAUCAAUAAUCGUUUUCACCACAAAAUAUCUAGGUCUGGAACUUACGUAGGAAAAAGCCAAAGAGCAACUUACCAGUGGUUCAUGAUCAGGACAAAAAGGUGAUGUUAAGAGGGGGAGGGGGGCUGAGGGGAGGGUGAUUGAUUUUAAAGGAGUAUAGAAGAGAAAGAAGUAUUAUAGAAGGAGGGUGGAAAGAUAUAUUAAUGGGGGGAAGAUUUUGAGGAGAAAGGUGAGAGCGAUGAAAGGUGAAUUGCCCCGGGGGGGGGGAUGAGGAGAGUGAAGAUUGCUUUGGAGGUGCAAUAGGAGAGAAAGAAGUGCAUGAAAAGAGGAAGGUGAUGGAGGAGUUGGAGGAGAAAGAGGAGAGAGAUGAAUGGUAGAUUCUAGUAGAGAAGAGAGUGAAAAAAGAGGAAGCUAAGAGGCCACGAUGAAGGUGGGGAGAGAUAGGCCGUUUUGGGGAGUAGGAGUGUAUCAAAGAGAAAAAGGGUUGGUUGAUGGGAGGAGAUCAUAGGUGUUGGUAUGGGGAUGGGGAUGGAGGGGGGUUUUACUUUUUCACUGAACACUAAGUUUUAGGUAUUGAGCGAUGUAUAAGGAACCUCAAUGCACACUAAGGUGAUGGGGUCCUGUUGCGCUUAAUUGCACCUCAUUGAAGUGAGGUGCACUAUGUAAUAACUCAAAUAAAUUUUUUGAUAUGAAUCUCAGAGUCGUGUGUGCCUCCUAAUUUAAAAAACAAAAAAGCGCUCUAUCCCAAUUGCCUAGAGCUUUGCAAGGAAUCAGUAUUUAGGGGAAGGGUAUGCUAGUCAUAGUCUAUUAGUAGUAACUUGGGGAAUAAGUUAGAGGUUUGUUAGGAGGGAUUUUCUAUAAAUAGGUCUCAUUAGGAGGGAAGAGGACAUGCUGAAUAUUGUGUGCUUUGUCAUUGAGAGAGAGUGAAACUCUUGAAAGCUCAUACUCAGGAGAGAUUCCAUCUCUCGAAAGUAAAAUUAUCUGAUUUGCUGUAAUUCUCAUCUUAUCAAUAUAAUCAUCAUUUUCUUUUUAUUUGCUGCCGCUGUUAGUGCUGUAAGCUAUGUCAGUUCCUAGCACGCCUCCAUGCCUUAAUCGUGCUUUUCCAUACACUGGUAUUGAGUUUAAAAAUUGGAUUUGUUUAGUGUAGAGAGUGUAGUUGAUGUGAAAGGUUAUUGAAUCUAGAAUCUGAUGUUGUGUAAGUAUGGUUGAGGAAAGGUAAUUAAUGACUAAUAAUUAAAUUGAUAACUAUCACUCCAUCCUUUUAUGAUUGAUGGCAUAGACCAAUAACAAUUCAACAAAGAAAAAAGUGGGGUUAGUGGACUACAUGUAAUUCUUGACUAAUUGGAGAGAAAAUUUGUCAUUUAACAUGCAUUUAUUCCAUUGCUAAUAUUUAUUUUCAUUGAUUGUUUGUAGAGUGACCUUGAUUCUUUUGUUGUUCAAGGUUAUACUUUAAUUUUAAAGGGCAAAAUUGUUCUUGUUGUUGUUGGACAGGUGAUGAUCUAUUCACCUUUGAUCACUCCAAUUCACGUCAUAUAUACAGUAAUGCACAUAUGCUAAGAUGGUGCACAAGUUGCAUUGAGUCUGCCAGGUACUGUGCUUGGCUUUUAUCCAAUCAAAGUUCUUUCUUCUGAAGACUGCAAUUGAGUGUUGAGAGAAAAGUGGGUUUAGCUGGUAGAGAUGAAAGUCUCUACACUCCACUACUGUCAGUUCUAUCAAAUUCAAGCUUCUCAGAAAGGUAUUUAGUGAUUCGAACACCUUUGUUCCAAGGAAGCUUGUU